ensembl:antisense_RNA F53A2.10 ncRNA
CCACGACACCAGCGCUGAAAUUAGGAAAGCUUCUGAUGGUACCUGCCUUGCCACAAUAUUGAUCAUAGACUAAAAAUACAAAACAAUUUUUUUUAAUGUUGUGGCUUACCAAAGAAUGAUGGAAAAUCUGAUCCAACUUUCCCACGUCAAGAAAUUCCACGUCAAUGAUCUUCUUUUUGUCAUCUAAUGGAUCAAUCGCAUUUGGAACCAAAUUGUCCAACCAAUUAUUUAUAAACCGAAUGUUAUUUGCACCAUGAAUAAUUAAUUUUUUAAGUUUC